AUGCUACUGUGUGAUGAAGAGAUGGAGUUCUUACCAGGGGCGAUGAUGAUGACCGUGGCUGAAAUAAGCAUGUCUUGAGCAAUUAAGACAGCUGUGGCCUAUGGGUACUAAAUUAGAGCACACCCUUACCUCUCUUGCAGCCUGUUCAAUUCAUCGCUAAUGUUGGAUGUUCUGCGCCUUGGACGGUCAUUCUGAUAAAUGAUAACCAGGACAGUUCUUUUACAUCGCGAUGGGUAGAUUAUGCAGCAAGAGAUGUGAGUGUUGGGCUUGAAGAUGAAAGGCAAAACUGAGCCCUCUUUUGCUACGCUACAAAUAUUCGAUUUUACCCUCUACUAUGCACUGUUUUUUCUUUUCUAUUCCUCUCUAUUGCGUUGAUGUGGGUAACGGCCCAUCUGGACUUGGAUUGAUGUCUUCUCUUGGUGAUGAAGCCAACCGCCCUAGCUUGGAUUGAUUUCCAGCUGGCUUUGUUUUUGCCUGUAUAGUUGUACAAACUAUAUAUGUCAAACGCACUAUUGUUUUUGACUUGGAUUUCUACCUUACGUUUUUCUUCUUUUCCAGAAUGGAAAAUUUAUAUUAUCCUGUUUUUAUUUGGCUUGGAGUUGCUCCUUUUAUCUGAAGUGAACAAAUGUAAAUUGCUUCUUUCAUUGCUAGUAAUACAGCCAUCAGCAUAGUGUUCCAAAUUAACUUCUGAACACAAGAUAUUUGUUUCUGUUGAGUGUUGAUGAGUUCUAUUCUUUUCUGAAUGGCUAUGAUGAUUUCCUCGUCUUGGUGUUGAAGAUCUUUCAACAUAUCCUGAGAUAGUGAUGAUUGGUUCCAUUCAACUUUGCCCAGUUAGACAGUUAGUCAUUAUACUAGGAGGGCUUGCUCUGCUGCAAGUUACCAGUUGUGGCUAUUUGUUGCUGGGCGGGGAAAGAGAGAGAGAGAGAGAUGGUAAGGAGAGACCUGAAGGACUGGAAUAUCACCAAAGAACUAGCCAUGGGCAGGGGUGCAUGGAAAUUAGCUAUCCACGUGCCUAUCCCAACUUGUUUGGGACUGAACGGCUUUGUUGUUGUUGUUGUUUGGUACCGAAAGGCCUACCUGAAGCAUUUUCCAACUUUGGUGAUAUAUGGUGGGUUAAAUCUGAGCCAUUCAAGUAAUACUCCAACAUUUUUCUGGAUUUUGCGAACUAUUCGUGCAUGUGUUUGUUAUGACACCUGUGUCUGAUACUUCUACUACUGUUUGGUUAUAGUAAUUUUGAUCAGUGAGUAACUUUAGAAUGUACUCCAGAAAACAGCUUGAUUUUCCUUAAUAACUUUGUUUGUUUCUUCUUGCUUUUAAGAAUACCUGUUUGGUAACUGUGAAUGGUCAUGGGUUCAUUGCGAAAAUUAAGUUGUAUAUAUUCUAUACAUUGUGGGCCUGUAGCUUGAAAAAGAAACCUGGCAUUACCUAUGGCUUUGGGUUCUCUGUUACGGCUCUGGUUCUUUGUGUGGACCUUCUGGGAAGGUGAGAUGGUGUGAAAUCUUUUAUUUGAACCAAUUUAAAAGCAGAUUCUUGUUGAUGCUAUUUUUCAGUUUUUUGGUCCUAUUUUCGCAUCCAUUGUCAAAUUUUCUUCUAUUGAUAUUUGCCAUUGUAGUCCUCCUUAACUUCCACUAUGAAUGCAUGCCAUCCCUAUGUCCUCAUAAAGCUUCAUCUGUGAGGGAGAGGCAUCGAUGAGGAAGGAUGCUGGUGGUGAUGCCUGCCGUCUCCCUAUCAAUUUGACUGGAUAAGUUCAUUCUUCUGCUGUAUUCUUUAUCUACUUAUCAGUUUGUACUUUUGGUUUCUCGUUACUUCUUUACUGGUUUCAAGUUUCAACUUAAGGGUCGUAUAUGGCAUGUUAAGAUUACUGUUUUCUUUGUGUCAUGUUCAUGAAUGGCUGUGAUGAUAUAGCUUCCCUGCGAGAGCUUCUAUCUAACACCUGAAUUGAUUCACUUGGUGCUAAACUAGGAUGGCUUGUGUCACAGCAAGUAACCAGUUUAGCGGCUAACUAUUACUCCCUCCGUUCGCAAAUACUCCUUCCGUCCCCAAAUAUAAGUCUUUCUAGAGAUUCCAACAAGUGACUACAUACGGUGCAAAAUGAAUGAAUCUACACUCUAAAAUAUGUCUACAUACAUCCAUAUGUUGUAGUCCAUUUGAAAUGUAUAAAAAGACUUAUACUAGGAACGGAGGGAGUAUAAAUGUUCGUGGUCAUUCUACCAGAAAUUCAGUUAUGGUGUUGAGAUGGGAGUGUAUCUGAGCCAUUUACUUAUACAUGUCCCAGUUUUUGUGUCCUCCAGUUCAUGAUUUGCUCCUGAUAUAGUGAUUCUUUCUGCUAUUACUGAUUCUCCUGUGUUUUCUUGUCAUCUUGCGCUUCUCUGUUAUUCUCUUUGUUGGAUUUACGCCAAGUGCUGUUGAUGGCGAUGACGAGUAAGGUUCAUUCAGAGGUGUACUGAGAUCAUAUACCAUCGCCUGUUUGCAUGGUAUGGGUUAGGGUCAGGUAGGGUUUUGUGUGACUAGAUGGAAGCGUGCAAAUCAGGACGGCUUGCUUUCUGUGAGCAAAAUGAAUGCUGAAAUGUCACACAGGGGCAUCUCCAACGUGGAUCACCACGUGCAUGGGAUACAGCGUGGGUUUUGCCCAUAUGAUAGACGAGCCAACUCUGAGCCUCCCAUUUCUUCUUUUAAUAAAUACGACCUCUCUACAAUUUGUGCUUAUGUGCUUACGUAUAUAAUCUUCUCAAUCUGUUAAUGAAUUAUAGCAGUAUUGGGAUCUCACUGUAAUAUAUGUUAUGGUCUUUGACACUUACGAGAAAUGCUCAUAGCGAACUGGAUGUUGAGCUAUUUUACACUUGCAUACUCAGAAUGCUUUGAAUUACUGAUGCAUCAACAGGUUCUACUUUGUUUGACUAAGAAACAAUCCUGUGUGGCAAGGGCCUUGGCAAGCGGCAAAGGGCUUCACAUCUUCUGUUCAAACAAUGCGAUUGCUUGUUCUGUUUUCUUUGCUCAGCGUUCCUGUUUAGUCAUUCCUUCAUUUUAUUUCGCGCAAGGUUUCCUUCCCUUCCAUACCUAUAUAUUAUAUAAAUUGUUCUACGUUGCUCUUUCUGAUUCAUGCAUCUGCUGCACUAUGGCACCUCAAGCUUCAGCAAAAAUAUAUUACGUUUGGUCUUUGAUGUCAUCAUAUAUUUAUUUAGUUUUGAGUCCACCCAUUUAUUUUUUGUAUAAAUCAUGUGCAACCUAAUCUGCAGCACUGCCCCUAUUGCUAUGUUUGCCUCUUGUGUGAUUCCACCUUGCCCUCUUUCUGUGCGCCGCUGAUAUUUCCAGUAAUACAGUAUGUGAUUUCAACUUGAGUGUACUCGACAUCUUUGAUCUCCUUUAUAGUUAAUUCCUCAGCUUUCCGUGCGUAAUUUUUGAACUACUGCUAAUUUUAAUGACAUAAUUGCUCGCCUAGAAAUCUCAGUAUUAGAUAAUCGCAAGCUACAAUCAUAUAAACUGGACGGUUUGCCACCAUGAGACACUCCCGAGUCUGAUGAGUUCUUGUGACGUACUAACAAGUUCUGGUGACGUGUUUCUCUGAACGGAAGUCUGGUCAUAUAUGCUUGGUCAGUGGUUUGCAUCUGUAACUCUUUUCCAAUCACCGGCGCCGUAGAAGAUGCAGGGCAAAGGACUUGGAAGGGCUUUCCUGUAAUUGUUGUUUUCCAAGGUCUUACCUGCAAUGCACGCCUUUGACUCAAUAUAUGAACACGUGUGUCGCCUCUCAAAAAAAGUCUGGUCUUAUAUGCUUUCGUUGGUGGUUCUGUAAUUCACAUGGUCAAAUUUGUUAACAUGCUUGUCACAAUUGGAUGCAACUGAACUGAGUGUGAGUGCAUAUGAUUAUUAAGAUGGCGAGAGUAGUAAUUGCCAUGGCUUAGAAUGUCUAGUAAUUUUGAUAGCCAAUGUCAGUGGCUCAGAAUUACGCAUGAGCCCUAAAUGCAACCGUCCUGUAUUUGGACCUUUUGUUUCUGGCAGAGCUACGUGCCUACAUGCUUACUCGCACAACUUAAUGGCCCGUUGUACAUUAUGCCGUUGGCGAUUAUACAAGCACUUUGUUUUGUCGGAAGUACACUUGUUGCUGGUGGUUGCUAAAAUAUCUGUGUGAGGAGUCUAGACUGUAUCUUCCCAUAUACAUGUUCAGUUUUGCUUAACGAUGAAAGGAUAUUGUCCAGUAAAUUUCUAAAAUAUCGGAAUAAGUAUUUAUAUGGAAGGUUGCAUCAUGUAGAUACAAGAGUGAAUGAGACAAGUCAAAGAGACCGGGAGUAGGUUGAUAAACUUGUUUGCAUAUUUGAAACCGGAGGUAUUGUACUUACACUAGUAUGUGUGGGCAUACACUCAUUUUAUGAAAUCCGGCUCAGCCCCUUUCCAUUACAAAAUACUACUCCCUCUAUAAAGAAAUAUAAGAGUGUUUAGAUCACUAACUUUAGUAAUCUACUCUUAUAUUUCUUUACAUUUUAGUGAUCUAAAUGCUCUUAUAUUUUUUUUACAGAGGGAGUAUAACAAAGGUGCAACCUGUCUAAAAAAGGUUAAAAAAGGAAAAAAGGGAAGUGAGUUGAAUGCAUUGACAGAAAACCCUCGUGUCAUUACGUGUGAUUGCAACUGAAGUAUGCGGGACACAAACUAAACCUAAUAAGUUCCAACAUAGCAUAACUAGGACGACUCUCCUCAAAUAACGUGUCCCAGAAAAGACACCUUAGAAGUCACAUUUCUUCAGUUUUGCAUAUGAAUCAUGCUUCAUUAAUGUCUGAAGAACUAUUUCUGCAUGUUGAUCAUGCUCUUCUUCUAUCUUUGAAUAAAUCAAAAUAUCAUCAAUAAAUACAACCACGAGACGAUCCAAAAAAGGUCUGAACACAUGGUCCAUUAAGUCCAUGAAGCCCGGGGAGCAUAAUGUCCAUAUCUUGUGUGGAACACUGUUUUUUUGGAAUAUCUCCAUGCUUUAUUUGUAGCUGGUGAUAUCCCGACUGCAAAUCUAUCUUUGAAAAUACUUGUGUUCCUUGUAAUUGAUCGACCAAAUCAUCAAUUCUUGGUAAUAGAUAUCGGUUCUUAAUAGUUACCUUGUUUAGCUCCCGAUAAGAAUCCUAGACAUCAGAGAUAGAAUUAUGAGAAAAAUGACCAUCCAAUUUGUAAAAGUCGAAUGGAGCAACCACACAGAGAGGAAGCGACCUGGGAAAAAGAAGACGAUUUGCGUGCAUGUUUUCCGCAUCUCCAGUUUAUGGGUAAUUAAAUUUGAGGACGGAAUUUCUAUAAGUAGGGGAGGAUGUAAUACCCGUGUUAUUUAGAAUAAAUGAGGUGCUUUAAUUGGGAAAUUAAAGAAAAAUUAGCACACACUGAAGUUGUAAUUAGCAGUCUACUUAAAUAAAAUCAAUCAUUGGCCAUCAUUGUUUAGUACUAAGUGGAGUAAUCAAGUGAUUCCUUAGUGUAGAAGGAUGUGCAUUAGAAGAAUGUGUAGGUAGAGCCUUCGAGUAGGUGGCCAAAUGUGGCUGUAGUACAAGAUAUUUUGCAGCUCAAGCUUGCACUAUCUAUGGCAUUAAAUUACAUGCUGAUUCAGCCAUGCACGUGUGCGGUUCUAGAUGUCAAAGUACAAGCAACUGUAAAAUCUAGGACACCGAGGCCUUAGAUUUUUCUGAGUUACACUUAUCGAGCCCCAUUCCCUUCUCUACUAUGCCUAUAAAUAGAUGAGCAGGACUACACAACAGUAACCAUCACAACAUACGUACUAGCUCACUAGUUAGCUUUGCAUGGAGUAGAAUCACUUUGAUACCACUUUAACUAUCACACCCCGAGACCUUAGAUUAGCGAGAUAGACAGCCGUUGGUGACUAUAGGCCUAUCUCGCCUAGGCCCAGUCUCGGGGCUUGACAUACAUGAAAUUUGUUACCGCCGCCGACGACGAGAGGUGUUACGGGGUGAUGAGGUGAUGCGAAUGGGCUACCAGAGGGAUGUGAUGGCAACGAUGUUAGAGGCCGGAGACACAUGCCAGACGUCGCAACAGUUGAUGGUGCGGGCUGCACCCGGUCCAGUAUCCUCUUUUCUCCGGGGAUAUGCGAAGACCUGGCGUGGGAAAACGAUGAUUGUUACAAUAUUUUAUCUAACAUUCGCCAACACUCUAAACUAAUCGAAUCGGUCGGUGCUAGGUGCUCGGCCCGGCCAGCCAACGCCUAGUGUUGCCCCCUAAAGUUUUUGUCUGAGUGUUUUUUUCAUCAAAAUUUAUUGUGCGAGGUCCGCUUCAAUUUUCAGAUCAUUUGGACAUCUGAGUAUCUCUCAACAAAAAAAAAA
rnacentral:lncRNA from 1 species